GUGGCUCUGUAGUUUAGUGAUAAAAAUGCCAUGUUGUGGCUGUGGAGACUUGAGUUCGAAUCCCAGCACCCACA
rnacentral:tRNA from 11 species